rnacentral:rRNA from 1 species
UACGGAGGGUGCGAGCGUUGUCCGGAAUCAUUGGGCGUAAAGGGCGCGUAGGUGGCCCGGUGAGUCUUUGGUGAAAGCGCGGGGCUCAACCCUGCGUCGGCCAGGGAUACUGCCGCGGCUCGAGCACUGUAGAGGCAGGCGGAAUUCCGGGUGUAGCGGUGGAAUGCGUAGAGAUCCGGAAGAACACCGGAGGCGAAGGCGGCUGGCUGGGCCUGAUCUGACGCUGAGGUGCGAAAGCGUGGGGAGCGAACAGG